UAAUCUCAACCCCGCCGGUUUUGUAAUCGCGUUGGGUGUUGGACUUGGGGGCUGCUGGCUUAUCUCAAAGCCGGCUCCUCUUGAAUGCAUUAGCUUGGACCUGUUCGCUUGCUAGCGGUGUAAUACGUAUAUAUUCACUGUGCGCAAGUGUAACUACAAAGGGUCUGCUUCUAAUCGUCCUUCACGGGACACUUAACUCUUGA
rnacentral:misc_RNA from 1 species